GAUGAACGCUAGCGGCAGGCCUAACACAUGCAAGUCGAGGGGUAUAGUUCUUCGGAACUAGAGACCGGCGCACGGGUGCGUAACGCGUAUGCAAUCUACCUUUUACAGGGGAAUAGCCCAGAGAAAUUUGGAUUAAUGCCCCAUAGUGUUAUAGAAUCGCAUGGUUUUAUAACUAAAGUUCCAACGGUAAAAGAUGAGCAUGCGUCCCAUUAGUUAGUUGGUAAGGUAACGGCUUACCAAGACAAUGAUGGGUAGGGGUCCUGAGAGGGAGAUCCCCCACACUGGUACUGAGACACGGACCAGACUCCUACGGGAGGCAGCAGUGAGGAAUAUUGGACAAUGGGCGCAAGCCUGAUCCAGCCAUGCCGCGUGCAGGAAGACGGUCCUAUGGAUUGUAAACUGCUUUUGUACAGGAAGAAACACUCCCUCGUGAGAGAGCUUGACGGUACUGUAAGAAUAAGGAUCGGCUAACUCCGUGCCAGCAGCCGUCGGU
rnacentral:rRNA from 1 species